rnacentral:rRNA from 1 species
ACUCAAAUGAAUUGACGGGGGCCCGCACAAGCGGUGGAGCAUGUGGUUCAAUUCGACGCAACGCGAAGAACCUUACCUGGGUUUGAACUGCAGGUGACAGGCCUGGAAACAGGCCCUUUCCUCUGGAACUCCUGCAGAGGUGCUGCAUGGCUGUCGUCAGCUCGUGUCGUGAGAUGUUGGGUUAAGUCCCGCAACGAGCGCAACCCUUGCCCUUAGUUGCCAUCGGGUCAUGCCGGGCACUCUAAGGGGACUGCCUCGGAAAACGGGGAGGAAGGUGGGGAUGAUGUCAAGUCAUCAUGGCCUUUAUGCCCAGGGCCACACACGUGCUACAAUGGGCGGUACAAAGGGCUGCGAACCCGCGAGGGGGAGCCAAUCCCAUAAAACCGUCCUCAGUUCGGAUUGCAGUCUGCAACUCGACUGCAUGAAGGUGGAAUCGCUAGUAAUCGCGGAUCAGCACGCCGCGGUGAAUACGUUCCCGGGCCUUGUACACACCGCCCGU